rnacentral:rRNA from 1 species
GUACGGAAGGCAGCAGUAGGGAAUUUUCGGCAAUGGGCGAAAGCCUGACCGAGCAAUGCCGCGUGAAUGAUGAAGGUCUUCGGAUUGUAAAGUUCUGUUGUUAGGGAAGAAUAGUAUAACGAGGAAAUGCGUUAUAAAGUGACGGUACCUAACUAGAAAGCCCCGGCUAACUAUGUGCCAGCAGCCGCGGUAAUACAUAGGGGGCAAGCGUUAUCCGGAAUUAUUGGGCGUAAAGAGUGCGUAGGCGGUUUAUUAAGUCUGGUGUGAAAUUUCACGGCUUAACUGUGAAGGGUCAUUGGAAACUGAUAAACUUGAGUACGGUAGGGGUAAGUGGAAUUCCAAGUGGAGCGGUGGAAUGCGUAGAUAUUUGGAGGAACACCAGUGGCGAAGGCGGCUUACUGGGCCGGAACUGACGCUGAGGCACGAAAGCGUGGGGAGCAAACAGGAUUAGAUACCCCGGUAGUCC